rnacentral:lncRNA from 1 species
CUCUGUGCUGACCUCUUCACCAGAAUCCCCAGACUUGUGAAAAUGCACUGACCUUUAAUCUCAAGGGAUGUGGCCAAGGCAUUGACAUUUUUAUUAAGUGCAUCAGGCACUUCUUAUGUUUAAGACCCACAGCUGUAGACUGAAUCUUCCCAACAGAGAUAAAUAUACAGCCCCUGGGAGUAGAGACUGUUAAAAGUUCAGAUGGUUUUGUUCACUUUCUGUGAAUUUAUGCUUUCUGGCUUUUUCAGAGACGUUUUCCAGAUCAAUGCCUUCAAAUUAGCUUUUAAUACACCUGCGACUCUGUACCUUCUUCCUGCAUAAUACUCAGUAGCUUCUAAAGAACUUUUGAAUAUAGUCUCUCCUCUAAGCCCAUAACACUUCCCUGAGAUCAGGAGACAGAUACUAAUUUAUAUGUGAGAAAGAGGAGGCUCAAGGAUAUGAAAUGAUUUAUUUAAGUGUUACUAGCACAUAGAGAGUAGUCCAUCAGCUGUCCAGAGAGCCUAGUUCUUACUCCUGUCUUAUUUUUGGCAGCUUCUCCAGUUCCAUCAAGUGUUGAAAAAAUAUACUGUAAGCCAAAUCUUGGAGACCACCUGCCCUGAGCAAAUGUCUAGCUGACAUAUGAGAAUUAAACCUGAGCAGAGGUAGCCAUUGCUGGUAACUCCCCAUGAUUCAUGUUUGGCUAUAACCUCAGACUCAUUGCUUUCACCUAAAAUUCUCGAAAAACAAAAGUUGGAGCUAUGGUGAUGUGGAGGGAAAUGCCUGCCAAGACAAGGAAGGAGGGCUUUGCUCCUGUGCUUUAUCAUCCCUCACCACGGAUGACCCAGAGAGAAAAGAUGAUAGAGAUAAAAGAAGCCAAGAGGACAACACGUUUAGAUAAAGAAGGAGAAAUAAAGUUGGAGCCUUGCCCAGGAGCUCUCUCCCAACAUGGAAGAAGCAGCUGAAUUAAGCAACAAAGAAUCCGAGUCCUAAUCGUGACUAUUUCAUUACCACUACAUAGACAAUAUUUAUUUUUAUUUUUUUUAAUUUGUUGCCGUUUCAUCCCUUCACAGUUUUCAGCUGACUU